rnacentral:lncRNA from 1 species
UUCCAAUUUUCAUGCCUCUUUGUGGCAUUAUUUACUAGGUUUAUAUAUGUCCCAAGCUCAAUGUCGCUUUAUGACAUUAUCUUAAUAUACCAAUUCCAAGCCCAAUGCCUCUUUAUGACAUUAGCUUACCCUAUCAAUAAUAGGUUAAUACGCAUGCUCUCUAGCAUGAUCUCACAUUGCUAAUAUGUACCUAGCAUGUAUUCCACAAUGCAUAUAAAUAUUAAUAUGCAUCUAUUCACUAACAUAUGGUUUCAAUGCGUCCGUAUGCAACUAUCAACAUAGCAUAGUUCUCAUAAUGCUACAUGCAUACACUUUCCAAUGCAACUACCAACUUAGCAUAAUUCUCAUAAUAUUAACAUGCACAUACAAUUCACAUAUGAUUCAAGUCUAAUGCCUCUCAAUGGCAUUACUUUGCUAGACUCAUUCAUAGCUCAAGCCCGAUGUCGCAUUACGACAUUAGCUCCCUAACUCACAGUUAUUCAAGUCCAAAGCCACUUUAUGGCCUAAUGUAUUCUCUUAUGUCCAAAUGAGAUUAUAUCCAAGGCAUAUUACUUUUGUCAUGUCUACUAUAUGGAGCAUGAUUCCAAGUCCCAAUUAGAAUGCUAAACCCAUGCAUAAGUCUCACAUGCAAGCUCUCUACUACAUAGAGGUCCGAAAAUGCAUUGUAUAUAACAUAAGCAUUUCAAGCAUUCUAAAAUUCACAAAUAAUGCAUCUUUCAUGAAAAUGCGUGAUUUUCCAUUUUAC